rnacentral:rRNA from 1 species
GACAGAGGGUGCAAGCGUUGUUCGGAAUCAUUGGGCGUAAAGGGCGCGUAGGCGGUCAGGUAAGUCAACUGUGAAAGCCCAGGGCUCAACCUUGGAAGUGCAGCUGAAACUACCUGACUAGAGUCUCGGAGAGGGUGGUGGAAUUCCCAGUGUAGAGGUGAAAUUCGUAGAUAUUGGGGAAGAACACCCGGUGGCGAAGGCGGCACCUGUCGG